UGGGGAAUAUUGGGCAAUGGGCGAAAGCCUGACCCAGCAACGCCGCGUGAAGGAAGAAGGCCUUCGGGUUGUAAACUUCUUUUAUGAGGGACGAAGGAAGUGACGGUACCUCAUGAAUAAGCCACGGCUAACUACGUGCCAGCAGCCGCGGUAAUACGUAGGUGGCAAGCGUUAUCCGGAUUUACUGGGUGUAAAGGGCGCGUAGGCGGGAAAGCAAGUCAGAUGUGAAAUCCAUGGGCUUAACUCAUGAACUGCAUUUGAAACUGUUUUUCUUGAGUGUCGGAGAGGUAGAUGGAAUUCCUAGUGUAGCGGUGAAAUGCGUAGAUAUUAGGAGGAACACCAGUGGCGAAGGCGAUCUACUGGACGAUAACUGACGCUGAGGCGCGAAAGCGUGGGGAGC
rnacentral:rRNA from 1 species